rnacentral:rRNA from 1 species
UACAGGGGGGGCAAGCGUUAUUCGGAAUUAUUGGGCGUAAAGGGCGCGUAGGCGGCCUGACAAGUGGAAGGUGAAAUCCCUCGGCUUAACCGAGGAACUGCCCUCCAAACUGUUUGGCUUGAGACCGGGAGAGGUGAGUGGAAUUCCCAGUGUAGCGGUGAAAUGCGUAGAUAUUGGGAGGAACACCAGUGGCGAAGGCGGCUCACUGGCCCGGUACUGACGCUGAGGUGCGAAAGCGUGGGGAGCAAACAGG